rnacentral:lncRNA from 1 species
UAUUGGUCCAUAAUGAAAAUGACCAUUAAAUUAAAAAAAUUCAAUGAUCUUGUGAUGUACUACAACAAUGCCAGAUUCCAUAUAACUUCUCUUAUCUUCUCUUAUCCUUCCAGAUUCCAGCCUGCAACAACAAUGCCUCUUUGUGAAAGCAAGGCAUGGCAUACAAAGCAAAACAUCACCCUCUUCCACAACCACACAUAUUUUCUUCAUCACUCUUUAAUUAUUUUAAAUAUAUAUAUAUAGGAUGAAUCAAAUUACACCGGUG